rnacentral:rRNA from 1 species
UACAGAGGUCUCAAGCGUUGUUCGGAUUCAUUGGGCGUAAAGGGUGCGUAGGUGGCGCCGUAAGUCAGGUGUGAAAUUUCGGAGCUUAACUCCGAAACUGCAUUUGAUACUGCGGUGCUUGAGGACUUGGAGAGGAGACUGGAAUUCACGGUGUAGCAGUGAAAUGCGUAGAUAUCGUGAGGAAGACCAGUGGCGAAGGCGGGUCUCUGGACAGUCCCUGACACUGAGACACGAAGGCCAGGGGAGCAAACGGG